UCAAAGAAAUUCCAGUUUUCAUAAUUGCAGGGGCCACGACGAUCAGACUAUGCUAGAAGCAACUAAUCACAUUGUAUUCAUUGCAUUUUUCGCGGGUUGUUUUGCAAUUAUAGUUUGUUUUACCACAGCACUAAACCCCCUUCUCAUAAUAAUCAUCGGAGUUGGAGUUG